rnacentral:lncRNA from 1 species
CUUCCUCUGUACAUCUUUAUUGGAUGGAGCUAUUCAAAUGAGAAGACAAAGCAAUUUUAUUUGGACAACAACAUACUAAUAAUUUUUUCAUCGUUCCUCCUUUUCAAUGAUAAUUACAUUGUUGCAUUUACAUGAUCAAGUUCCAGUGCAUCUAUGAUCGUGAUGAUAUGACGCCUUUUUGUUUAUAGUCGUUAUGUUGAAAUUUCCUUUUUCUAAUAACUGUAGGAAAAAACACAUUCCAUUUCAAAUUAAUAAAAAAAGUCGCACUAUGGAGAAAAAUAUCAACUUUAAGUUUUCUGUUCAUUAUUGAUCUGUUGAAUGAUGACCUUGAAAACUGAGAUGUCUGACCUACAAAUACACAAAACUCAAAAAUUAUCAAUGAAAAGAAAUACAGCAAUAAAAUGGCUAUUUUAUCAUGUUUAUGAACAUUUUGAUAAACUUUCAUUUGAUAUUCAUUGUUAGUACUCUUAUUUUCAGUGCUUUGUGUCUAUGAUUUACAUUUACCGGUUGAUGUUUGGUUCCUUGUUGCAGUCUUUUGAGUUAAGCCUAUUGCAACAAAUGUUUACAAUUCGUUCAAAUGUUGUGCUGUUAUUUAAACCACUGUCGGGAAAAGGGUUUGUUCAUUGUCAAAGGCUGUACAGUGAACCAUUUUUGUUAAAUUAAAGGGACUCACAGGUCUAAAUCAAAUUUUUUCUUAAUAUAGGAUUUCACUAUAUUUUUCUAUAAAUGAACUUUAUCUUAUACUUAAUAGAAAAAUAAAAUUUAAAAAAUUGGGGUCACCGUUCAUUUACGCUCACAAUCCGCUUUCAAAAGAAGCAUACAUUUUUGUAAAGGUACUUUUUUUUCUGUUGAACUAACAGGAGAAAUAGAUGUAAUAUCGAAGAAAAAAAAAGAACUUAAUUACAGAAAUCGCUUAAAUUUUACAAUAGUUUAGUUUAAGUACAGCUUAUUUGAAAUGAUAAUAAAAAAUAUAGGUCACUGAUGAGUUAAAAAAAGAUAUAACAAUUCUAAGCAAAAAAUGGCAUUUUUGCCACCAAGGGAGAUUUUUGGAGCUUUUUCAAUGAUAUAUAUACAUUUUUAAAGUCAUCUUGCCAAAAUGAUUGAUUGUUUUAAAUGAUUGUUGUACCAUAUGUAAAGUAACAACUAAUGAAGUUAUAAAUAAAUUAGUUAUGAAAAAAAAAUAUGUAAUAUUUUUUUGAAAUUUUUAUACCUUAAGCCCUUAAAUGUCAUUUGAUCUCUAUUGGAGAAAAGUCUCAUUGGAAAUCAGACUGCUUCUUAUUUUUAUAUCAACCCAGCCAUAUUAUGCCUGUCCAAUAUCAGAGCUUGUACAUAGUUCAGUGGUUAUGUUGGUUCAUAUCCGUCAUUUCAUAAUUUUUUUGUUUUUAUAAAUUAGUCUGGUAUAUUUGAAGUUUGAAUUGAUGCUUUGUUUAAAAUUUUGUUAGUGUUGUCUUUUAUAGAUUACUAUAUCAUGUAUAGGGUAUGGGUUUUCUCAUUACUUACAGGUCAUUUAUAUUGGCCUCUAAUAAGUAAUUACAAUUCUUACAUCCACUAAAUUGAACUCAGAUGGAUAGUUUCUCAUUUAUCAUACACAUUUAUUUAAAUAAUAUUUAAUAGUAUUCAAGGGCAAAAACUUUUAUAACAGUGACUUACCAUUAGGUUUUGUUGACCUCUGUAAAUCUAUUUUUGUUG